UCUUGGUUCAGGUCUUCAAGCUUUACAACACAGUUCUCCCUAGCGGCAUGAACCAAAAUAGGGUUUAAGCUCUUCUUCCACAAUGGCGACGACCUUGAAUCGAUUCCUGAAGCAAAAAUGUAGAUCAGUCUAUCGGAACCAGCAUCAAGUCCUCUUCAAUCUCACUCGCCACGAGAAUCGCGAGUCUCUCCCUUCGCAGAUACCAGCUCUUCGAUCAACCACUCGCUCGUUCCUCGACUUCUAUCAGUUUGGGAACAAGAAAGCGAUCGAGGAUGAACGUGCUAGACUUAAUGAUGAGAUGAAUCGAGGGUACUUUGCUGAUAUGAAAGAGUUCAAGGACCAUGGUGGUAAGAUCGCUGCUGCUAGCAAGACUUUAAUCCCUGCUGUGUCGGCCAUGAAGUUUCCGGUGUUAGCAGUGACUUUCUCUAAUGGGAAAAGCAUGAAGCUGCCUAUUACUUCCAACAGCAAUGAGGUUAACAAAGAGAGUUUGGCUGUUCCUAAGGUGACAUUGGUGUGUCUGUCUUUCCGAGCUAGCUCUCAGGAAAUGAUCAGCUCGUGGAGCAAACCAUUUAUUGAAUCGUUUGGCGACAGGAAAGAUCUUCAGUUGUUUGAGGUUUCGUUUAUAGACAAAUGGCUGCUGGGGUUGGCUCCCAUAAGGAAACUACUUCUACGAGUCUUGCAAAAACCGGACAACAAUGUCCUCCAGAGGCAGAUUGUUUACUCAUUUGGGGACCAUUAUGACUUCCGGAAACAGAUGAAAGUUCUGAACCUUCUCACCGGGUAUAUUCUCCUACUCGACAAAUCCGGGAGAAUAAGAUGGCAAGGCUUUGGAACAGCAACUCCAGAGGAAGUAGCUCAACUUCUCUCCUGCACCUCACUUCUCUUGAAAGAUCAAUGAAAGAAAGCACUUGGUUUGAUAUAUUUUCCAUGGAAGCUGUCAUUAGUGAAGAGAUCACUGCUUAAACCAGAAGGCUAUCUCAAAAAGACAGUUGCUCCUUUACUCACCAAAGACAAUAAACUAUCUCUUAUCUUUUGGUUGUUUUCUAGUUCUGAUUGGAUUGGUGUUAUCGUCAUAUUCAGAGGCAAUAGUUAAUCCUUUCUUCCAAUCUAUAUUGGUAUUCAAAGACUAAAACAGAGCACGCUUCAAUUUUCUUUUUUCUUUCAGACAUUUUUGUUGUAUUUAUGAGAAUCUAAUGGCCUAAAUCUUUGUCAGAGAAAAAAAAGAAUAAAGACUAA